CAGCAGCCGCGGGAAUACGGAGGGUGCAAGCGUUAAUCGGAAUUACUGGGCGUAAAGCGCACGCAGGCGGUCUGUCAAGUCGGAUGUGAAAUCCCCGGGCUCAACCUGGGAACUGCAUUCGAAACUGGCAGGCUAGAGUCUUGUAGAGGGGGGUAGAAUUCCAGGUGUAGCGGUGAAAUGCGUAGAGAUCUGGAGGAAUACCGGUGGCGAAGGCGGCCCCCUGGACAAAGACUGACGCUCAGGUGCGAAAGCGUGGGGAGCAAACAGGAUUAGAUACCCGCGUAGUCCCUGUCUCUUAUAC
rnacentral:rRNA from 1 species